AUUGUUGGUGAGGUAAUGGCUCACCAAGUCGAUGAUCUUUAACUGGUUUGAGAAGAUGAUCAGUCAGACUGGAACUGAGAAACGGUCCAGACUCCUACGGGAGGCAGCAGUUAGGAAUAUUCCACAAUGGGCGAAAGCCUGACGCAGCGACGCCGCGUGGGGGAUGAAGGCCUUCGGGUUGUAAACCCCUUUCAGCAGGGACGAAGCGAAAGUGACGGUACCUGCAGAAGAAGCGCCGGCUAACUACGUGCCAGCAGCCGCGGUAACACGUAGGGCGCAAGCGUUGUCCGGAAUUAUUGGGCGUAAAGAGCUCGUAGGCGGUCUGUUGCGUCCGCUGUGAAAACUCGGGGCUUAACCCCGAGCCUGCAGUGGAUACGGGCAGACUAGAGGUAGGUAGGGGAGAAUGGAAUUCCCGGUGUAGCGGUGAAAUGCGCAGAUAUCGGGAGGAACACCGGUGGCGAAGGCGGUUCUCUGGGCCUUACCUGACGCUGAGGAGCGAAAGCGUGGGGAGCGAACAGGAUUAGAUACCCUGGUAGUCCACGCCGUAAACGUUGGGCGCUAGGUGUGGGAUCCUUCCACGGAUUCCGUGCCGCAGCUAACGCAUUAAGCGCCCCGCCUGGGGAGUACGGCCGCAAGGCUAAAACUCAAAGGAAUUGACG
rnacentral:rRNA from 1 species